AUAGCCAUCCUGCCGCCGGGACUCAUUCCGCCUUUCGCCGCGGAGGGAUCUGUAUAUCGCCACACAGUCCAAGCCACAAAUAUGCCCCGUUUGGGACUCGCCGGUGUCACGGAUGCCCCCACUCACACUGGACCAAGUGGAACACUUCUGCUCUACAGUGGUACACUGUAUUUCUUGUACAUCUGUCAGAAGCAGUCUGCAAAAAAUAAGAGUGGGGACUGCCUCAAAAAUUCUGAGAAAAGCCUUUUGGCUUCCAUCCCAGAUCAUGACAUAUGGGUCUGAUGUAAAGAACAUGUAUUGCUGCAUGUCAUCUGCAUACUGAUGGCACCACAGAUCAAGCCAUAGCAUGAUGGGAUCACAAAGACAUUGAAAAGGAGGGGUGACAAAAUGUAACCUCCCACUUCUGCCUAACGUACCAGAUAUAUGUGGAAAAAUGCACUCCCAGUGCUGCCCUAGGUACUUGGUGCGACAUCUUUGGAUUAUCAGUAUUCCUGAGCUGAACAAAUUACCAGCAGUGGAAUAUAAGAGUAUAGCCCCAUUUUGCUAGACUGGUUAACUGAAGCUGUAUUUAGCUGAUAGGGCCAUAUGGCCUUUUCUCAGCCAAUUAACUUGUGUUUGGCAGUCCAAAGAUAUAAUAGGUAUUAUUCUACUAUAGGCAGACAUUAAUGCUUGGUUUCCACAAAGAUUUAUAGUAGAAUAUGAUAACAUUGCCCAGAGGUUCACAUGGAGGAGGUGUUUGUGUUGAGACGUGAUUGACAUAUAGCUAUGGAGAGAUACUCUUACUUGCCGUUUCAUUGUGCUGUGGGAGUUUACAGGCCUCCCAAUGUCUUCUGGAUAAUACAGAGCACUGGGUUUCCAGCACAUCCAGAGUCAAAUAAAGGACUGAUGAAUUCCCCUGGAAAAAAAAAGCAGACAAAAUACGUUUGUAUGGGACAAGUUUGUUGUGAAGGAGGCAAUCUAAUUAUUUUUUUAUAUUUGGAUUACGCCUUAUCCCUCACUUGGCCUUCCCAGACUCCUUGUUAUGGGCUUGCCUGGGCUGACAAGGAUCCAGGGUAUAGGUGAGUGAGAAUGUGGGUUGUUGCAUUUUAUUCCUUUUGAUUUUUAGCCAACAACACAUUGUCCCUCCAACAUAAAUAUCACCAUUCUUUACUGUAUCUGGCCCAUGCUACAGAUACAUCAGUUCCUGCUGAAGUCAGUAAGCAGACCUCCCAUCUGAGCAAUAUUUCCUACCCGGAUUAUCCGAGAAGGGCUGCUACAGAAGUGCACUCACUCCUCCAAAAUCAAGAACCUGGACUCUGCAAUGCGUCUAAUCUGUGCUGGCCUGGAGAAGUCUGGAAUCGAGAUUGAAACCACAUUCCUUAUGUGGUAGCAUAACGUGUUACUAGUUAUAUCUGGUCCACUGAAACAAUCUAAAGUGAAUCUUUAAUGAAGAAGUGCUGUAGUAUAACAGAAUAACUCUUUAUUAUUGUGAUGUCCACUAGUGCAGCGGAAGUUAAACUAACACUUCUACUUCUAUAAUGCCUUCCAUCCAAAAGUGUUAAUGUACUUUGCAAACACCAGUUUAGCUUCACAGAACACCUGUGUAGAGGGCAAGUAUUAUUAUCUCUUUUUUACAGAUGGGAAAACUAAGGUUAGAUAACUUGCGCAAGGUCAGAGUCUGUGAUAAUCUGGAACACAGAUUUCUUAAUUGUCAGUCCUGUACAUCAAUCACAAGCUCACUCUCCUGAGGUUUGAUUUGAUUUUAAUGUUUAGCCUAUAAACCCCCAAAAUUAGAAGGUGCCAGUUUAAUCUGUUUGGAAAAUGCAGAUGGGAAGAUAAAGCCAAAGAGAGGGAAGCAGGGGAGACCAUGAGGAUCAGAAAUAUCUUACUCUUCCACAUUGUGUUUAUGGAAUUCCAUUGGAUGAAUGGCAAGAAUUACUUGUAUAUGGACAAAUCAGUCUUUUCUAUAAUAUAAUGUUCGGCAGUCUGAACCAGAAGGAACUCUCCAAAACUCAAAUAAAGGAAUAAACAAA